rnacentral:rRNA from 1 species
UACGUAGGGUGCAAGCGUUGUCCGGAAUUAUUGGGCGUAAAGAGCUCGUAGGCGGCUUGUCGCGUCGGCUGUGAAAACCUGGGGCUCAACCCCGGGCCUGCAGCCGAUACGGGCAAGCUAGAAUUCGGUAGGGGAGACUGGAAUUCCUGGUGUAGCGGUGAAAUGCGCAGAUAUCGUUUGGAACGCCAAUGGUGAAAACAGGUUGCUGGGAGUGUGCUGACGCUGAGACACGAAAGCCAGGGGAGCAAACGGG